rnacentral:rRNA from 1 species
UACGAAGGGGGCUAGCGUUGCUCGGAAUGACUGGGCGUAAAGGGCGCGUAGGCGGCUUGCACCGUCAGAUGUGAAAUUCCUGGGCUUAACCGGGGAACUGCGUCUGAUACUGGAUGGCUUGAGUUUGGGAGAGGGAUGCGGAAUUCCAGGUGUAGCGGUGAAAUGCGUAGAUAUCUGGAGGAACACCGGUGGCGAAGGCGGCAUCCUGGACCAACACUGACGCUGAGUGAGCGAAAGCCAGGGGAGCAAACGGG